UACGGAGGGAGCGAGCGUUGUCCGAAGUUACUGGGCGUAAAGGGCGCGUAGGCGGCCUGCUAAGUCGAACGUGAAAUCCCUGGGCUCAACCCAGGAACUGCGUCCGAUACUGGUUGGCUUGAAUCCGGGAGAGGGAUGUGGAAUUCCAGGUGUAGCGGUGAAAUGCGUAGAUAUCUGGAGGAACACCGGUGGCGAAGGCGACAUCCUGGACCGGCAUUGACGCUGAGGCGCGAAAGCCAGGGGAGCAAACGGG
rnacentral:rRNA from 1 species